GACUUGUCCAGCUCUGCCUCUAUUAGUCGGUUCAGCUCUGCUUCUAUAAUUUUUUUGGUCCACUGUACAAUGGGCUCCUUUAUUACCUCCUUGAGAAUCCUUUUCAGUUUGGUCCACUGUCUCAUCAUCCAUCGAAUCACGGCCCAGGCACACAAUCUAAAAGGCAAAAGAAUUAUAGAGGCAGAGCUGGACAUAGUCUUCAGUUGAAUUUAAGGUUCCUCUUCCCUUGUUUGGAAGAGGUUAUGAUCAUUGUACGCUCCCGGCUCAAUGUUGAACACUCUUGAAGUACACUGUGAAGUUGCAGAGGAUGGUCAUCAGAAUCUCAAAGAUGAAGAAUUGCCAUAAAGGUGCUGAUGAGUUCUUUGAUGAUAUAUGUAAUUUCAAUUAUAUGAACUAUAAGAAAGUGCAAAUUGAAUAAGUGGAGAUGAUAUAGUAUUACAUAUUUAUAUCAUCAAAAUAAUAUUAAUAUUACGAUGAUAUUUUAUCA